CACUGCCAGGGAUCCAGGGACAGCCCCAGCUGCUCUGGGCACCCUGUGCCAGCCCUGCCCACCCUCACAGGGCAGGAUUUCUUCUCAAUGUCCCAUCUAAUUUGCAUUCAUUAGUUUAGGUGCAAGAACCAAGAAUUCCUUGUGGCCCCAGGGGGUGUGUGAGCAGCCCAGUCCCUCUCUCCUGUGUGCUGGUAGCUCGAUGUCCUGCAACAGCAACAGUGCCAAGCUACUGUGUGUAAAUAUUUGAGACAUAUAAAUGGUAGAAUUCACUGUUUCCUCAAGUCAAUACAGUUUACACUGAGUGGACCAUAUUUGCAAACUAUUCGUUUACACCAAGAAAGGGAGUGAACUGUGAUUUCAUCUGUAUUUAUUGAAUCAUAAGUUUAGUAGCAUAUUUGGUAGUUACAGUGAUCUAUAGCUGUGUUUUGGGGUGUGGAUUAUGUUCUUUGCAGCUCGUGUUUUUCCACAAGGUAGUAAAUCCAGGAAGUCAUUUCUGCCUGGAUAUACACUACAUUUUUUCAAAGCAGUCAGAGACUAAAACUGCCAUGUAACAAACAGCAGGAAAGAGGAACACUUCUAUUUUUCAACUUUAGCACUUUAUGUUUGCAACCCAUUUCUCUUAAGUUAUUUAAAAAUGUUUUUAAAAGCAAAAUUUAAUACACAUGUUCCUAUUUACUGUACAUUAAAAUAAACGGAUUCUCUGCUGGAAAUUUCAUCUUCUCCUCUAGUAUGCUCAUAAUUUGUAUUUUUGGGGAGUGAAGCAUUGUUUUUUUUCUUGUGUGUAGUAUCUCAGUGUCUUUCCUAUUGCUUUAUCUGUGUGGGUUAUGUGCUGUAGCAGUUCCUGUGUGCUUUGGGGCUGCUCCAGGUGCUGGCCCUGGGUGCCAGUGUGAGUCUCACCGUGCUCCUGCUGCCCCUGGGUGAGUCUCACCGUGCUCAGCUGCUGCAGGGUGAGGUUUUGUGGCACACACUGUUCUCUUCCUGCACCCUGCAGCAAUUCCAGGUGUGUACAGCCCUCUCUGUCCCCUUAACUCUGCAUUUCUCUCCUCCACAGAGCUUGUCCUGUUCAUCUGUGCAAACAUUUGUUUAGCUCAGCUCGUGGAGCAGUGGAAACCCAACAUUCUGUGCUCAGCAGCAGCUUCAGCCUGUGCAGGUGUGCUCAGGACAGGUGGGGUGGGCAGGACCAUCCUGUGUCCCCUGGAGGUGAGGCUGUGCUGGGAGCUGCCCCAGGGCUGUUCUCUGAGCUGUCCCAGCCAAAGCCCAGGACAGCCUCGGCCUCUGGAGCUGCCAGAGAGGUGCUGGAGGUGAUCUGGGGUUGGCAGGGGGGUUCUAGAGGUGACCUGGAGUUGGCAGGAGGUGCUGGAGGUGAUCUGGGGUUGGCAGAGAGGUUCUAGAGGUGAUCUGGGGUUGGCAGGGGGGUUCUGGAGGUGAUCUGGGGGUGGCAGGGAGGUUCUAGAGGUGAUCUGGGGUUGGGCUGUGCUGCUGGAGGUGAUCUGGGGUUGGCAGGGAGGUGAUCUGGGGUUGGCUGCUGGAGGUUCUAGAGGUGAUCUGGGUUUGGCAGGGAGGUUCUAGAAGUGAUCUGGGGUUGGCUGCUGGAGGUUCUAGAAGUGAUCUGGGGUUGGCAGGGAGCCCCAGCCCAGAGGGGAUCCCCAAAGCUGCUCCCUGGUUCUGCAGCUGUGCUGCACCAGCCCCUGGUUUGCUGUGCCCCAGGGAUGUGGAGCCCUGCCUGGAGCAGCCCCAAGCUGUUCCUGUAGGACUGGGCUCAUCCCAGGGGUCUGGGGCCAGCCCAGUGCCCAUUUCAGCAGGAGCUGCACAGCUCUUUAUUUAUUAUUGGUUAUUCCAGAAGUGUUAAACUCUAUGAUUUGCAUGAAAUCCUGUGGUUCACAGCUUUGCCAAUAUGGUCCAUUACUACUGCCUACAACUCGUGUACUUCUAUGCCUUUGAGAACAUUUUUAACUGUUAAAAUUGUUUUAAGAAUCAAUGUUAAGUUAAUUUUUAAUGGGGAAAUGGAUUCUGGUGUCAAAAUGGUAUUUACUGUGAUGCUGAUGUUUUGUACCUGUCAUCCAGCUAAACAACCUGUAAAUAUCCUGAGUCAAGAGAAACACAAAUGCCAAUUAUUUAUUGUUCUGUGGAGUUACAUGUCGCAGAUGUGUAAGAACUUAAAAGGGAAUGUCGUAAAACAAGGUGGAAAAAAUAAAUUUUAUGCAACUUCUUUACUUCA